rfam:Lentisphaerae bacterium RIFOXYB12_FTLL_65_16 rifoxyb3_full_scaffold_851, whole genome shotgun sequence.
GAGAGCCGGAUGCGGGAAAUCCGCCCGUCCGGUUCGGAGGGAGGGGCGGGGCAACCCAAUGCCCCGCUCCUACCCCUAU